GCAGCAACUCGCUGGCGUUCACUUCCUUGCUGUGAAGGCUUUGUUGUUUUGUUCUUCACAGAAAAUCUUGUUGCUGUUCACUCUUUGGGUCCAUACUACCUUUAUGAGCUGUUAACACUCGCUGCGAAGGUCUGCAGUUUCACUCCUGAAGUCAGUGAGACCACGAACCCACCAGGAGGAACAAACAACUCCAGAAGCACCACCUCUAAGAGCUGUAACUCUCACGGCGAAGGUCCGAGGCUUUACUCCUGAAGUCAGUGAGACCAUGAACCCACCGGGAGGAAGAAACUCCGGACACAUCUGAACGUCUGAAGGAACAAACUCUGGACACACCAUCUUUAAGAACGCAGGAAUCAGGCAAAGAAUCUCAGAGGAGUCUGCUAACCUCUCAAAAGUGACAACUGGGAUAAGAAUGUCAGAAAUCCCUCAACUACCCUAGUUAUUGGAGAAUGGGGGUAUUGUGGAAAGGGAACCUAGGAAGACCACUGGAGCGAGAACAAUUAUGGAACCAUGCAACUGGACUUCCAAAUUCGAUGAACUGCACGCCUGCAAGCUUUCUCCAUGGUCUGUGGCCCACAUUCACCUCACAAGAUGGGGGAAGAGAUAAAACACUUUGGUUUUCUUAA